UCCCUCCUCAACUGAGGGUACGUAGGUAACUUGAAACUUCAAAACUUCAAGUACAGUCACACCAUUAAAACUUCAAAAAUGUAAAUACUUUAUUUCUUUAAAAGAAGAAGUCGACUCCAAAGCCUUAUUACAAGAAAAAAAAAACAGAAGAUACUACUUGAAAACUAUGUCCCUAAAACUAUGAAGGCGAUCUUCAAGCAAGCCUUCCAAAGUUUUUAAAGUCUCUACCUCGGUAGGAGACAAGAUGGGAAAAUCCAUAGUCAUUCCUUUAUCUCGUUCUAGGCGCGAAAUCUCCUCCUGGUACUGAGAAAGUGUAGUUCCCUGCUCCGAGAGAACACUUUCAAGUUGCGAUACUUCGAUUACCAACUGCUCUCGCUCUCG
rnacentral:lncRNA from 1 species